rnacentral:rRNA from 1 species
AAACCCUUUGACUUUUGGGGAAUUUAAAUGCAAUUACUUUUUUAAUACAUGCUAGUAUAAGCGGACAGGUGAGUUAAUCUGUGAAACCAAGCAGAGUGUUACCAGGAUUAUUAUUCAAUAAUUUUAAUAAUUCCUAAGACAACUAGUUUUUCCACACUUUUACUGAAACAAAGAAAAGCAAAUUGCAGCAGUAUAGGAUAUUGUACAAUUAACUUCUGUUAGAUACAGAAAAGUAAUAAGAACUGUCAAAUUGGGUGCCAGCAGACGCGGUUAUACCUAAAGUUCUAGUUUUAUGGUAAAAUAGGCAAAAAGAGUGUGUAUCAUUCAAGAAUUAUUAAAAAGUAAUACAAUAAAUAGUACAGAGAUUAAAUUCAAUAACUCUAUUUAGAAUAUCAUAUUACUAAUUUUUGAGAAACACGAAACAACAGAAAGCCAACGGGAUUAGAUACCCCGGUAACCUGUUGCCUAAAUAAAAGUACAUUCUUAGAGAUAUUAACUCGCCUGAGUAGUAUAAUCUAUUGAUUGAAAUUCAAAAAGUUUGGCUGUUCGUUUUCCAAUUAGAGGAUUGUGUGGUUUAAUAUGAUACUCCGCAUAAAACCUUACCCUACUUUGAUACCCAAGUGCUGCAUGGCCGUCAUUAGUUUGUGUCUAUUAUUCAACAAACAUAAUCUUUUAGAGUUAAAGUCAGGUCGCAUGGCCUUUAUGGUGGGGGAUACAUGCAAUACAAUUUUUAUGAGAAAAAAAACAUAAUAAUGGAUAUAUUUUGAAAAAUUAUUGAAAUAGAAUUUAACAGUAAUCGAAAACUAUAAAGUUUCGGUGAAUAGGUUCAAACGUUAGUACAAAUUGCCCGUCACCUUUUAUAACUAACAAAUAUUUGUUAGAAGUUAAAGCAAGUCGUAACAUAGUGAGGGAAAGGGAACUUUUCCUUGAAUUACC